UGGAGAUGGCUCAGCCGAUAAAUAUGCCCAGUGGCCUGGGAUGGUAUGUUAGAUGGGAUUGGAUCUGAGUUACUUCAGAGAAUUCUUUUCUGGGUGUCUGGCUGGUGAGUCUUGCCCACAUGUUUAGGGUUUAGUUGAUCGCCAUA